rnacentral:rRNA from 1 species
UGGGGAAUAUUGGACAAUGGGCGAAAGCCUGAUCCAGCCAUGCCGCGUGUGUGAAGAAGGCCUUUUGGUUGUAAAGCACUUUAAGCGAGGAGGAGGCUACUUAGAUUAAUACUCUAGGAUAGUGGACGUUACUCGCAGAAUAAGCACCGGCUAACUCUGUGCCAGCAGCCGCGGUAAUACAGAGGGUGCGAGCGUUAAUCGGAUUUACUGGGCGUAAAGCGUGCGUAGGCGGCUUUUUAAGUCGGAUGUGAAAUCCCUGAGCUUAACUUAGGAAUUGCAUUCCAUACUGGGAAGCUAGAGUAUGGGAGAGGAUGGUAGAAUUCCAGGUGUAGCGGUGAAAUGCGUAGAGAUCUGGAGGAAUACCGAUGGCGAAGGCAGCCAUCUGGCCUAAUACUGACGCUGAGGUACGAAAGCAUGGGGAGCAAACAGG